rnacentral:tRNA from 1 species
AUUUUUAUAGUUGAAACACAACAAAAGCUUUUCAUGCCUUAAGUUUGGGUUAAAACCCCAAUAAAAAUU